rnacentral:tRNA from 1 species
UAGCUCAGUGGCGGAGCGCAUGCUUAGUAAGCAUGAGGUGCUGGGUUCAAUCCCCAG